CAGCCGCCGCGGGAAUACGAAGGGGGCUAGCGUUGCUCGGAAUGACUGGGCGUAAAGGGCGCGUAGGCGGCACAUACAGUCAGAAGUGAAAUUCCUGGGCUCAACCUGGGGACUGCUUGUGAUACGUGUGAGCUAGAGUGAGGAAGAGGGUUGUGGAAUUUCCAGUGUAGAGGUGAAAUUCGUAGAUAUUGGAAAGAACACCGGUGGCGAAGGCGGCAACCUGGUCCUUUACUGACGCUGAGGCGCGAAAGCGUGGGGAGCAAACAGGAUUAGAUACCCGUGUAGUCCCUGUCUCUUAUAC
rnacentral:rRNA from 1 species